UUUGUAUGAUGAUUAAGAUGAGUCCGUGUUUAUGAAAAAUCAUUGAUUAAAUCAUCUUCUGACAAA
rnacentral:snoRNA from 1 species